AAGACAUUCUGUGUCAGGACUCCGUUCAGUGCACAAUGAGUACCACAUAGCAGUGCACCCCGGUGGAAAAAGAAGUGACUUUUCUGUGUGAAUUAGUGAGACUUUAGCACCGUAUCAGUGACUCAUUGCAAUGUUACAGCCGAGAUCCUGUUGGAUCGCAGCCGCCCUUCUGCUUGCAGUGUUAGCGAAAGGAGACGGCGAAGAUUUGCUCAAUGGAAGUGAAGACGGCAAGAGGUGGAAGAGGGAGACCGGAGAUGUGACUGUUCUAUCUUUGGAGGAGAAUGGGAGGUUGCGGGAUCCGCCGGUGGGCGUACUCUCGUCGACGGCACGUACCUUUGUUAACAACGGAGCGACGACAGAGUUUGCUACACAGAUACUCGGGACGACAGUCGGUAAAACCUACGCGAAACUGCUUAGCACGGGAUCCCGGGUGUUCUACGACAGCUCGAGGCAGGCGAAAGACCCUUACCUGGUCUUUCCGACCAUACCGGGGAUAAGCCCGACGAGGAGCCAAGUGCAGUACCAGACCGCGGAACCGUUCACUCCGUCGUCCCAAGAGUCUCCGACGAACCUGCCUAGUUUGAACGAGAUAAAGGAAGAACCGGCCACGACGCUUCAACCGAAGAACGUUAUAUCCGUGAGAAAAGAGUUUUCAGUCAAGAAGAACACCGAAGUGAAGCCGGCCAAAGUGAAACCGAACGGCAAUCUGCCGACGGUGACGAUCAAAAAUGAAUUCGCCCCGAGCGGUUACUCGGAGCAAGUAGACACCAUCAAAGAGCCGAAAAAGUCGAGACUCGGCAAGGGACUUUUCAGAGGAGGUGUUCAAAUCAAGAACGAGUUCCAAAAGUUUGACACGGUCACUUAUGUCGGGUUCGCGGACUUCACCACGACUGUCGGUAACACGGUCAUCAUAUUUAUGCCCAAGACUGCGGCGGCUAAUACUGGCCCGGUGACGUCGAUCGCUGGCGCUGCCACUCUGCGGCCGGAAGACGCUUUACACCCGGUUGUGACCACUGUCAAAACGUUCAUGUCUCAUUCUCCAGCGAUGGCGACGAAAACAGUAACCGGUCACAAUUUGAACGUGCAGACCUCUCUCCCUACGGUUCAAGCCGACACUAGAGCCAGCAAAGCGUACAACCCCGUUUUCGUCACUGUCGAACAGUACCCGACGACCGAAGAAAUCCCGACUUCUGAGCAUACAACGGCUGAAGGUACGUCGGAAUUCGUGACGGAACAGACGACGACGGAACAAGACGGUCACAUUUUCGAUAGUUCCGAACCGGACAUGCCGAUGGAAGAAGUGACUCCGACAGAAGCUCUCAAAUUAGGAUAUACUUAUACUACGACGAAAACAAGGGUGUUCAUUCCUGGGGAUGAGCCUUUAGGGCUUGCCAAAUCUAUAGCAGUCAUCCAAGCGUCAGACUCCACAACGACUUAUCUGACUUCCUUUUUGUUCGGUACGAUCAUAGAAGGGAGUUACACUCAGCUCACUCAAGUGGUCUCUAGUACGGCCACUCCGAAAGCAAUAACCCCGACUCCUGUGCUGUCUAAGCCGACAAUUACAGCCGCUGAGACUACAACUGAAGAUGCCGACACGACGAGUACCACAGAAAAUCCUCCUUCUACGACAGAACAGAACGAUGAUAUUACCACCGAACAAAACGAAGAAAACAAGAAUGAUUCUGACUAUAUCACUAAAUUAGUUCCAACGACUGUGCACAACACUUACACUUAUUUCACAACUUUCUUCAUCCCUAAAGGAGAAACGACGAGCACAUCCGUCAAAACUAGAGAAGUCGUCUCUGAUGAAAUCCGUUACGUCACUACUGCAGUUCCUCAAUACGAAAACACCACUCCUCCGGAUCUAAAUAUAUCUCCGACAGGAGUGACCGAAUCGUAUCAGACAACGACCCCGGAAGAGAUCGGUUCGACUACAGAAGACACCCCGUCCGGCUCUACACCACAGCUCCCCACCGAUAUCACGACCAACGUCAAUCCUGUCACUCAAGACUACGGCAAUCCAGAUACAACGACACUCGAACCGACGACCACUGAGAAAGAAGAAGAAGUGGAUAUUAUAAUAAGGACGUUAUAUACGACAUACACUUAUCUGACUACAUUCUUCCAAGAGUCGACGACCAGCGUCAGGAGUAGGGAAGUCGUUGAAACCAAUGUAGUCACUUCCACUUUAGACACGAAUAAUUUACCCGAAGCGACCGACCCUGCUGUAGCAGGAUUGUUUAAAUCGAUAAAGCCUACGAAUGUCGUUGAAAACCUUUCUUCGGACAAGUCUCCAGAAGUGCCCUCGCCCGUCGAAGAAUACAAAACGUACACUUAUUACACGACCGUUUUUGUUGACGGUGAAACAUUGAUAGAAAGCAGAACUGAAGUCGUGAAAGAAACAAUAAAUCCGACUUCGGUGAGCCAAGUACAGUAUAAAACAGUUUUGACCGAUGAAAACAACGUUGUACCCAAAGAAUAUCAAAACGCAGACGGAUCUGAUGAAGCUUUGGAAAACAAAAAAAAGCCGGCUUACGGAACGAUAUCAAGACCGGUAUUCCACGGAUCUCCUUCGUCUGAAGCACUAGUAGACCCUAAGUUGCAAUCCAGUAUCGACGACACUUAUUCAUAUGAUACGACGAUGUCGAGAAACGACAGAGUAACGUCCACAAAGCCAUUUGUCGGAAAACCGGGCGAAAGAGACCUUUUGUCGGCUAGAGAAGAAUUGAAAAAAGAAACCAUAUCUGAUUUCGAAGACAGCGAGUAUGUGGAAACUAUAGUAACCGAUGUCACGAGCAGCAGCUCAGGCGGCAAUCGUCGCAAAUCAUACGAAGAGUACGAAUCGAAUCCGAACGAUCAAGUAAGUGCUGAGAGCAACACUGAAGAAAUCGAACCGUCGUUCUCACCGACCGUGCUGCUUCAGACAAGCUACACUACAUUCACAUACUUCACAACAGUUUACAAAGGCACGUCUAGCGAUGUGAUCAGUCGGCUAGAGACUGUUACGAACUUAGUUACAGAAACUGUUAGACCCACAGAAGUAGAAACCAAUUUAAGUCCGGAAGAAGCGACACUGCCCAUAACUUAUUUCACAACUUUUACUUAUUGGACUACUCUCUACAAAGGAAAAAGCACGAUGAUCACAAGCAGAGAAGAAACCGUUUCCAAUAUUGUCACGCCCACUUUAUCCUCAUCCACUAGUCAAUCGAUUCUCUUAACAGAAACCCCAUUGUUAUUAGAAACCCCGUUAUCCCAAUCCGUGGAAAUCAUUCCGACUUCAGACGCUUCUCAGGAAUCUGUUUCUCCCGUUUCAGCAGAUCUACCCACCGUCUUCCCUGACCAGACAUCGGAAGAGAUCACCGCAACGCCAACCUCUUCAGAAGUAAUAUUAGAGCCGACAACAUAUUACACAACUUAUACAUAUUUCACGACUUCUUAUAUCGGCAACGAUACUGUUAUAAAUAGCCAUUUAGAAACUGAAACGAACGUCGUCACACCGACAGCCUCUGAUAGCCAGUCGUUACAAACAUCCGAAGUGGAAUCGUCCUCCACUGUCGAUGCUGUUGAAGGAGAAUCUACCACAACUCCCACUCCCAGCCUACAACCGACAGGAUUGAUUUCGACGAUAAGAAGCACCGUGAUCAACGAAGGAUUGACGACCCUCCUCAAUACAGACGUUUAUGGAACUUACAUUGACGGCUUGUACGCUCAAGUUCUCGAGAGUUCGUCUGAAGUUGUCACCCCAACAGCUUCGUCAGCGGCAAAACUUCAACCCACUGGAAUAGUAUCUUUAAAUGAAGGCAAAAUAGUCGAUGCGGCUGGUAUAUCGACUACUCUCUUUACUACUAAAGCUAUUGGAACGUAUAUAGACGACCUUUACGCUCAAGUGGUCGAAAGCACUUCUACUGUUGUAGUUGACGAAGAAAAGAAAACUGCUAAUCUGGAAGCUCCGCCAUCUACCACAAUGAUCGGGUCCAAGGUGUUUACAACAGGCCUCGUACGGCUCAUCGAAGGGUCGGUUAUCAAAGACAAAGACGUCACGACCUUUUACGAGUCUAGAGUCAUCGGAACCAUAAUCGACGGAAGGUACGCUCAAAUAAUAGAAAGCACGUCGAGCUUCAAAUCUGACCUUCCUCAGACUACGGCAGUUUCUCCGACUUCCACGGUUCCUCCCGGAUCUGUCAUUUCGCCCACGGUGACGUCCACGGCACCGGGACCGGCAGCGAUAGAAAGUUCGUUGAACAACGAAAACGAAGACAAAGAGGCAGACGGAGGGGACGAUGACGAAGACGGACAUUUUAAAUCAAGGUUGAGUUUUACAUCGAAGAAAAAACAAUUUACUCCUGUGAUUCGCCCAUUUUCAUCGAGACCGAGGCCGACGUUCCUUCCCAAAAAGAAAACCGGCGACCCGGCCACAACAAUUACGCGAACCUCUUUUACACCCACAGUGACUGCGACUCCGGCGUCAAAAACCGGUUUUGGAUCGAGUAGAAACAGAUUCGCACCUAGUAGAAAAUCGUCGAGCGCGGAGUUUAGACCAACUACUUCGAGUUCUAGGAGAUAUUCUCGCCCGAGAAGCAGUUCUACUCCUACCUUUGGAGGUGGGCGUAGUAGAUCUUCAACUAAAGUGCUACCGACUAUUUCCUCUACUUCAGCCCGUAGAGGUGGAUUCAACUACCGAUCGACUGGAAGGCCGAACCUUCCCAAUUUGUCCGCUAGCUCCUCUAGGUUUAGAAUUAGACCUACUCAAGCCAACGGGAGGUUUUCCGGCUCUUCUACUUUAGCAGAAGACGUCAAUAUCAAUGAUAUCACAGGAGCUGCAGCGGUUACAGAAGAAAUUGAACAAAAUACACAUCCGGGUGACGAGGAAGCGGUGACGGCCGCCCCUACGACUUCGACGGAAUCACCGAGACGAGCCAAUAACCCAUUGCUCAGGUUCAGAAGGCCCCCGAUCCUUCAAAGGCCGAGUACGACCACCACAACUACGCCCAAGCCGUCCACCACGCCCAAACGGAGUUCGUUAUUACGCCGCCCCGACAGCAGGGCCGGAUCUUCAUACAACGCACCGAAAACCCGACCAGUACCUAGUUUCACCAACAACAGGGUUAAACAAAGGCCAGCGGGCAACUUAUUCCCGCCGAGAGGCCUGGCUAGAAAACAGCCUAAAGAAGAAUUAGAAGAAAAAGAAGAAAACGAAGAAGAUCAAAUAGAUGAAAGUGGAGACGACAUUCAAGAUAACGAAUACGAAGGAUCGGAAACGGCGGAACAGACUUCUUCGACGACGACCGAACCUCCGAGAUCGAACAGAAGAAGAUCAAAAGGUUUCAACCAAGUUCAAAUCAGGCCGUUCACGAGACGUCCAAGGACGAAAAGACAAGCGUCGGAAUACGGGAGCCGCGGGUACACUGCUAGGUACCGAAGGCCUUCUACAAGAACGACCUCCCCCGAUUAUUAUUACGACGAAGUCGUUCAAGAACCGGUGAAACCUGCGACCAGAAGUUAUUCGUCAAGAUCACGGGGUCAGUCGAAUUACCAACAGAACCAACAGAAGCUCCGCCCGUCGCCUACUUCCAGCACACCGCGACAUCAAUUCACUCUGAGGGAAAGGACGUCUCAAACGACAGCGAACCCGAGACUGAACAAUUUCAGAAGGCCCACGUCAUCGCCUAGGAGGAGAGUAUCGUCCGAAUUGACGACUGUGUCACCAAGACAGAAAUCCUCGUCUCGGUCGAGAAAUCCGACUACCGAAGCCACCACUUUCACAAGGGGUAGCAGUCGGAGAUACAACUCUCAAAGAAAAACUACAAGGACUAACAGAUAUAGGGAUAAAAACGAUUUCGACCCUUACGUUACUCCAGCGUUUGACGGGACUAUCACAGUGACGCAUAAAAUUCCGACAGAAGUCACCAUUCCAGUUUUUAACGGUAAAAGUACAGAAUACAAAAAUGUGAUAACUGCAAAGCCCAGCCUCGAGGUUCUGGGGCCAUAUCAAUACACGAGCUCUUUCGGAAAAGACGGAAAAUCCACCAUCCAGCUCACAAGUGAAAUCACUUCCACGCUACCUAAUGGAUUUAUGGAAGUGACGAAAUUUUUAGUUUACGAAACACCGACUACCAGUGUCACUUUUACCCCGACUACCUUGCGGGGUAGGAAAACGUCAUUCUCUCACAUUGUACCAAGCACGAUAUACGAAGUACGACCUGAGAUCAGCACUGUCCAACCCGAUCUAGGAAACGCUCCUCUAGCGAAUCUACUACUAUCGCAGUUGUUACUGGGAAAUUUGGGCAUGCCGAACACUGUUGUACAAACACCGGGAACACCGACGACGGAAUUCAAGACCAAAACGACAACCUACGUCACAACGGUCACUUCCCACACAUCCACGGUACUCCCUCUGACCUUCCGAGGUAAAGCUAUAACCACAACUAUUGUCGACAGUUCCACUCAAGUGAUAACGGCUACUGAAUAUCUCACCGAGACGAUCGUCGUGACGCCAACGGCCGUCGUCGCGCCGCAGAUCACCAAUCAGCUCAACACGCUUUUACUCCCGGCACUCCUUCAAGCUCAGCUUUUGGGAAAUCAGCAAAAGCCUAAAAACAAUCAGCAGGACUUUUUAAAUACGAAAGUUCAAGACGACGACGACGACGACAUCGAACAAAGGUACAGCAAAGAUAAGGACGACGACCUGGAAGACGAAAGGCCGGUGAGGGAAUCCGUCGAAGAGCCAGUGCAAAAAUCGAGGAAAAAAGGUAAAAUAAAAGCGCCGGAUAAGCCGAUCCCGACCAGCGUGGUGACUUUAUACGUCUCUGGAAAGCACCCAGGUGAAUUUACUACUCUUCUGUCAACUGUAGUUGGUGGAGACGAAUCAAGUUCCUUGAGAAAGCGAGAAAUAAGUCCGAAAGAUCUUAAAUACUACAAAAUUGAAGCGUCGAAGUUGCCGCAACUGGGAAGUUCCUUCUCGGAUGAUCUGAGCAAUUACGUAACGCCGGUCCUCGAUGAAGUCGUCAUAGAGAGUAGCGAAAUAGAAACGCAGAGUCUGGAAAGCGUAAUAGGCGACGUCAGUAAGUAUUUAUCCAGUUCGUACAAAGACGACCGAAUCCAAUACUCGACUACCGGUCAUUUUUUAUUGAAAGGCCUCGCUGAGUCUGCUCCGGAUCAGCGGAAGGCCUCUUCAAGGAGCGACGCACCGUUGAGGAGAAAACGUCAAAUUGAACAGGACCAACCAAAACGAAAAUUAAUAAGGAUCAAAGUACCUAUCGUGAGAGCGAAACCCGUCCGAGAAGAGGACGAAGACGAUUACGAUUCCACGACCGAGCAGGCGACCCGUCAAUCACCGACUGAAUAUUUUUUCGAAGAACCCACUACAGAAAGGAAUGUGAAAAGAGUAAGAGUGGCUAAGAAAAGAAUUUCUGAAAUGGUCGGUGGCGAAACUCCAAAAAGGAGAAUUGUCGUCACGAGACGACGCCCGAUUGACCCGAUCGAAGUAGAGCCGACGGAAUACAUAAAAGAAACGGAGGAAAGCCCUCGGCCGCUUCACGAGACCAUCCAACCGAAAAGGAGGAGGAUAUUAAAGACCAAAAAACGGCUUGUGACUCAAGAUAGUGGAUUUACCGAACCGACCCAAAGAAGGAGGAUUACGAUUACAAAAAAGCGACCGCUACAAACAGAAGACAUACAGAGUUCACCCGUGUUGGACAUGUCGACGCUAUACAACUAUCAAUAUUCCAUACCUUCGGAAGAAGGGAAAGCGAGCGUCAUGGUUUCUCAGGUGUUCAUGAGCGGCCCGGACAGCGUCUACCUGGCGCCGAACAUGGAAGACAAAAUCAAAGAGAUCUUAAACGAACCCUCAUUCGAACUCGAAAGUGGUAAAACAGAAAAUGAACGCGAAUCGGCCAGUUCUCAUGCCGGCCAACCGAAAAUAGUGCGACCGGUGAAGCCGACGGUGAUAAGGGGCGACACUCUGUACAGGGAAACGACGAAAUAUGUAGAAAGUGAGACAGAACACGCACCCACGACGCCGUUCGAAGAACAAUACGUGCAGUCGACCCCACAGGACUCGGAACAAAGACCGACGACAGAGCCGAAUGUCUUCGAAGAGAACGUGACCACGCAGCCGGAUUCAGCCAACGGCACGGAAGAUCGACAACCGGAAUCCGAUGUUGAUACGAAAGAACGCAAGACAGAAUCCGAUGAUAAGGAAGAACAACAGCCGGAAUCUUAUGAUGCUACGGAAGAAGAGCCGGAAGAAGAAGAAGAGCCAGACACGUACGAAGAAUACGAAGAUUUCGAGCCGACGCAGACCCCUGAAUCCAAAGACGAAUACGAAGAAGAACAAGAGGCCGUUACAGAAAACCAAGAAGAAAAGUUCGAACUCGACCCGACUUUCGUCACGAUUUUCCCGUAUGACGACGUGACGGAAGACGUCACACAGACGGUCGUACCGACGACCGAAUAUGAGACUGUGACAAAGACACUGACAACUACCAGACUCAGGACUUACACUUACGUCGUCACGAGGGUGAGCGGAAGCGAACAAAUAAUAACCUCUUCGACCUCUGUCAAACCCGAUGUGAAGACGGUGACAGUCACGGAAACCGUUCCCGUCACACCGACAGCCACAGCAAAUACUGAGAUCGGCAGAGGGCUGUACGUUGUUGAGCCACGAUACAAUUUGGCCACUAAAGUAAUGAGCAAUGGAGUGGAGGUGAUCGUCGCUGGGGGUAAAAGCACGCUUCCUGGCUCUCCUCAGCUUAGGGUGAUCCCAUCUGGCCUGGCCAAGCCCAUAACUCUAGCACCUAGCACGUUGACGGACCACAUGAUGAUGCUGUUGCCUCAGGAGAGUCAAAAACCGCAUAACGAUUUCAUAACGAAAACAUACAUGACGACGUACACUUACCUGACGACUUUUGCUCAAGAAGGAUCCACGGUGGUUUCGAGCCGAGAAAAAGUCGUAUCGAACGUUGUGACGGAGGAGGUCAAUCCGAGCAAGACGAGGCCCGUCGACCACUUCACCCUUACCAGCAGCCCCGAGCUGAUGACAGGAGUGUACCACACCACGUACACUUACUUGAACACGCUCGUGGACGGUGAACUUCCUCUGGUCGUGACGUCAAAGAAGACAGUGUCGAAUACGGUCACCGAGCAGUCCAAUUUUAUCCAGCCUUCAGAAUUGCCAGUUCAAGAUACCAAUACAUACCUAAGCACAGUUGCCUAUACGAAAACGUUGAGUGAAGGAGAUGAGAUGAAAGUCGUGAGUACUGAAGACGUCUUGACUCAAGUAGUCAUCACUGAAUCGGAUUACUUACCUUCAUCGUUGUCUGAAGAAAUCCGACCUACUGCCAUCACGACGGACGUGACCAAAACUUACUUCGCCACUUACACAUAUUUCAAGACGAAAGUUGAAGACGGUAAGACCAUCGUCAACACGGAAGUGGCAACGUCUUCGGAUAUAGUUACCGAAACGUUCACGAUACAGCCGAAGAAGACGUCGACGGAGGUCGCACAGACCCCAGAGACUAAAGUCCACGAAACUGGAGACCAGUCGGAUUCUCAACCGAUAAAUCUUUUCGCCACGAAAACAUACCUGACCACGUUCACCUACUUUACAACUCUGCUUCAAGACAACAAAUCGCCCAGUAUAGUAGUUAAAUCGAGAACGAAAGUGCAACAGAACAUUGUCACCGAAACUGUAGACAGCGGCCUUCUCGACACCGGUUAUUUAGACCUGUUAAAAAGUUCGGUUAACGAUAAUCACGAUUCUAUAAUUGCGACGGCUACUUUGAACAACGGUGACCAGAUGGAAAUUACGGCUAUGACGUCCGACUUGAUCCGAGAGACCGAAUCGCCGAGUGUGGCGACGUCUUUUACCGAAGUGACGCCGAGUAACGUCAUCACUGGCUCAACUAUCAUAUUCUUCGACGAAGAAGACCAAAUGGACAGCACGCCGAGUUUCGUCCAACCGUCUUUCACCGAUUCGCACAAAGAUCACAAUCUUCAAUCGAAAACUGCUACGCCCACGCUGUCAAAAACUGCUAAGCCUUCUCCGACUUCAGCCAGUCAGACAUACAACACAAAAGUGACAGAUUACGACAAGGACCAAGUGUCGAUACCAGAUAUAGUAAACGGUCCAAUAACGAGUGGAAGCUCCGGAUCUGUUAACAUAUUUAACGGUUUCAACGCCCUCGGCCCUGUUAUAAACGCGAUGGCUGAUUUGUUCCAUUCGAAUUUCAACGGAAAACAACCAAACGUGUCCGCUCCGAGACCGGUGGUCCAUUUCGCACCUCACAACCCUUUUGAAACGCAGCAAAAAGAAAUCGGCACCACCCCUAGAUCGCCGGUUUACAUCCCGGUGGGAGGAGUGUUCGACAGCGAACCCUCAGAGAGUCAACACUACGACGGUCACAACAUUUACCCAGAAGUAAACCAGCGGACGAAACCUUUACGAGACAGACCCAACAUCGAAGCCGCACUGCUCUCGGGCGGAAUUCCCAUAAGCCCUGGUCAAGUGAUUACAACCAACAGCGAUGUAAUUAUCGGAAAGCACGCCGUACACGGUCCUCGCCCCCCCGUCAAGCCCUUCGGAAAAGACAACGUUGAGGGUAUGAAGCCGCCGCCGCCGCCACCUCCUCCCCAAUCUUCGCCGCCGAAGCCCAACUGGCCCCCGAGAGAUCAAGAAAGAUACCCAAGCAGUCACGUACCUCACAGAGUACCUUCGAAUCCCGAGAUACCGAGGUUUCCACCGAAGAGAGACCAUCACAUUGGUGGAGGAACGAUACUGGCUCCUCCUCCGCCCGUCAGAGAUCACUACAUCCCCUUGAGAGAUCGAGUACCCCCUAAAUUAAACGUGCCUCACAAAAAUUAUCCUGAAAUAAAGGUCGACGUCCCGACUGACCCCGAUUUCCCAUACCCCAUCGACUCUCAGAACGAACAGUCGCAAACUUUGGUCAAUCUGUAUCCAGGAAAUAACAAACAUCCUAAAUUACCGCAAAUAGUAAGUAAUCUGCCUGGAUUGAAAUCUCAGGGAGAACAGAACGUUAACUACAACAAUAAAUUGAAACAGCCCCAGACCGAUCACCAAUAUCUGAAAUACAGACCCGUAUUCAAAGUGCCUAAACCUUCAUUUGAAAAACAUGAGAACAAAGACGAACCGUCUCAUUUUAUAAAUGUCAGCGUUUCACAGCAAGUGUAUAAAGAUGAAAAGCUUGAAGAAAACCAAUUUAACCAUCCGUUAUUGGUGAACAUACAACCGUCUCAAGUGGCCAAUGUAGUCAUUCCUCACGGAGUGUCGACAGCGUUGGUUUACAACGGGGAGCCCGAAAAACACAACCAGAAGGGUGAAAUCUUCAACGAACCUUCACCCUACCCGGAUGUGGAAGUAGGGAUGGUCGGUGUCGCCGGCCUGAGCACUUCCAGCGAAAACAAACCGCCUCAUGCCGCACACAUACCCUCCAACGCGAUACGGAUGGACGUCCCUCUUUCUCCUCAAGGGAUUGAGUCCGAAGUUUUCAAGGUUCCGACCAACGACAACAACAAAAGGCGGCCUGUCACCGGAAAAAGGCCAGCGGCGAACUUCAUCCUGGAACACGCUACGGGCUUGGAAUAUAUGACACCCCCUCCACCGCCGAUUUCUGCAUUGGUCAAUUAUCAUUUGGGACACGAUAUCGAGGACCAAGAUAGCGAAUCCUCGGUCAACAGUGAAUAUCACACCGAUGGGAGUGGCGAGAGGAUUAACCAGCCACUCAAGUCGAAGCCUUUUUUCGACUAUGACGGCGAACCAGCACCGCCGAAACCCGCGAUACGACCCGAUAUCAACACGUCCGGCGCAAACGGAGUCAAGUAUUCCGCAAUUAACUCCAGACCGGUCGUCUUAGGUUUCGAAAACACCGAGAAACCUCCUCCGAUCAUUAAAGGGAUACCCAACGUCAACACGUUCGGCGAGGACUCGCAGGCCACAGUCGCAGUGGGAAAACCUACAAAUAUGACACCAAAGGACGACAUGGAUCAUAUAUUGAUAGUCAGCGAUAAAGUAGAUGUCGUCGGCACUUCUCAUAGCCCUUUUGAUUUAAACAGAGACCAAACGGCUCCACAGAACCAACCCCAGCAUCCUUCGGCAAAACCACCAUUCGACAACACCGUUUACGCUAUGAAUAUGGAUGAGAAACUUCCUCUUCCGACUUAUGAAACUCCCCCUCAACUUACAACAUACGAAAUCCCUCCGUCUUCGAAGGAAGAAGACAACACGGCGAGGCCGAUCAACAUGGAAAUCGAUCGAGACAGAAAUUCUGCAUACCAAAGCGAUGCCGUUCUUGGUUUGACUCCGCCAGCGGCGACUCGAUACCCGAACCACGACAAAACGACACAUCGCCCGUCUCAGAGCAGCAGAAGGCCGUUUCCGCCUUUCAGGAAACGUCCGAAUCCACCUCCCUACAAGUUCGAAAGGCCUCUGCCCACAAUCGAAUCCAGGCCCAAGAAACCGACGUUUUUAGAAACCGAGAGACCGCCGCUGCCUCCGGUGCCGACGGAAAUUCUUUCACCUCCUAAACCGACGGACGAUUUUGUUCGAAACGGAAACAAAAACAGGCAGACGACCGACAGAAACGACACCAAGCCGUCAGCGACGUCUCACGAAAGUAUAAACCCCAUUUUAGAAGGAUCUCUCGUAGUUGAACCCCCUGCCAAACCAGAAGUGAUCGCACCAGAGAGUAAAGUCGUUCUUAACAACAACUUCAAACCUGGAGGUCAUCUGAAUAAAAAUAAACCGAAAUAUCCCGACUCCUCUCCGCUAUCUACAAAAUUUUACACACCGACAUUGGCCUCGCAGGAUAAUACAAGACCAUCAACUCAAAAACCUUUUCUUGUCGGAUCGGAAACAGUCUUCCCAGAAGAAUCGUUGCCAACAUCGACUGAGUCGUUGAAACCGACGCUUGUCGUGGAGUCUGCCUCGCCCGUCUCGCCCACGACCUUCGACAGCAGUCCAGCGACUCAAUUCGUUAUUCCAGCCAGAGCGACUAAAUUACACAACAGCAUAAUACCGUUCUUUAUAAGAGACCGUCCAGCGGAUAAGCAUCCACUCGGCUCGAGUCCGGCUGGAAACGUCGGCAACAAGCCUACGACAAAAACAUUCACUGUUCAGAAUAUAAUAGUAUCUCCCGUGGCGACAACUCACGUAGUCACUCAUACGCAGACGUUAACCGUCACGACAACGGAAUCUAAAAUAAUCCAGAGCAAAGGGCAAAAGCCGUCGACGCACACGUUGGUUGUCACUAAAACUUUGACGUCGACCCUACUCGAUACCGUGACAGAAAUCCAUACUCUAGUAAAGCCCACGAGCAUAUUGUCGACAGUAACCACAACAAUGCCGCAAGUAACGACUACAGUGUUUCCGACUAUUACACCACCGCAUCCCGAAUCGACUAAAAUAGUCCAAGAAUCCGACUCGGUGACGGCGGGCACAAACGACAACGAUUCGAUUCUGGUCAUCAUGACGGACAAAGAUUCACAAUACGCCCCUGCUAAAUACGACCCCGACGAGCCACCAUUAGAAAUCGAAGCGCCUGAAGAAGAAGAGGAAGUCAAUCCGAACGUCCUUCUGGGCGGGUUUUUAUCCCACCAUUCUUCAGAUAACGAGUGUAAACCGGACUGUAAAGCGACAAAGAACGAGAGGUGCCAAAAGAUCAACAACAUCAUGAGAUGCGUAUGCAGGCCAGGUUUCGCAAGGAUGUUCCCGGACAGGCCGUGUAAACCUACCUACACGUUCCGUUUGAGCAUCCCUCUCGAAAGAUUAGGCCCUGAAAAAAUCACAUAUUCCCCGACCCUCCUCGACACCAAUUCGACUGAUUAUCAGGCACUUUCUGAAGCGACCAAAGAAGGACUGGACAGAAUGAUAAUGCAGUCUGAAAUACGAGAUGUUUACCACAGUCUUCAAAUAACUGGUUUCAAGCCGGAUAAUAAAGAAGACAACGCCAUGGCCAACUUUUAUAUCCAGCUAUCUGAAAACACGGAUGAGAUGAAGCUCAUGGAGAUGUUUAAAAAGCAUUUGAUGUCGAACAACUUCAGCAUAGGCGGGACGGAUCUUCAUGCGUCCAAAGAGAAAAUUGAACACUUGAGAGCCGAAGAUUUCGAUGAAUGUAAUGAUACGAAAUUUCACGAUUGUUCGGAGAACGCGCAAUGCUUCAACUUACGCGGGACGUACACGUGUAGUUGCAAAGAAGGAUUCACCGACCUUUCUCAUAACACACUUUACCCAGGACGUGUUUGCUCAGCUGAAAUGAUAGGCUGCCAGCGGUGCAACUUCCAUGGGAAUUGCUUCACGAGAAACGAAGAAGAAGAAUUGUGUGAAUGCUUCCAGUGGUACGCCGGCCAAUACUGCCAAAUUAAUCUAAAAGUCAUGCUGCUCAUACUUUCUCUUGUCGGAAUCAGCUUGAUGGUGCUGCUCGUCGUUUGUCUUGUGCUGUCGUGCAUGAGGAGAAGGCCGGUCAGAAAAGCGGCGGCAGCCCUGAGACCGCAAGGUUUCAGGUUCAGGCCACCGAGACCUUCGCCGGCAGACAAGAGAGCCAUGAUCAACAUGGAUACAUCGAGCGAGGCCAGUAUGGAGCACACACCCCCGCCGUACAUCAAACAGGUGGCUUUGAACGCACAGAGACCUAGACCUUGCAGAAAACAGAGCAAAGCUCCUUCGCCGCCACUUAGCUUCCACGGCACAAUGGAACAGAGAGACAGAUCCCUCACUGUUAUGAUUCCGAGGGCAAAAUACAGACCAGUACCAGUACAGCCAAUGUCUACGUUCGGCCCUGAACAGAAACUCCUGAAGUAUCUCACGAUAGAAAAACCGGGAUCAAGGAGUAACAGCAGAAAACCGAGCAGUUCGACGAACCAUUCUCACGACCCUCCGAGUCCGAAGAAAACGCAAAUCCCAUCGCCUUCGAGGAAGCCUUCUGCAGGUGCCUUGGUGUCGGCUGGAUUUGAAGUUUCUGCGACUGUCGGCAGAACGAAAGAAAUCCACGAAUGCUACAUAACCGAACCACACACCGAUUUAGGUCAGACUGGUUUCAGCACAAUAAGAACCGCUGACAGUUCAAUAAUAGUGGACAUACCUCCUCCACCUACAUUAGAAGCCGAACUGCUAGACACAUCAAAAAUUGACUUACUGACCGUCUCGGAAGCAAGAUCGUACGAUGAAACAACGAUCCAUCCCCCGACGAAGUGCCUGCAAGGUCAUUAUGACAAGCACAUGAGUGAUGCCAUACGAUGGUAGAACGGGACAUCGGCUCGACUUUUGUCAUGCCCCAGUCGCAUCUUUACAAACCUGACCGGGGUAAUGGAAGUGACAUAUCCAAUUUUGACUCCCUUUGAUAACCCAG
rnacentral:misc_RNA from 1 species